rnacentral:tRNA from 1 species
GGAGAGAUGGCUGAGUGGUCGAAAGCAACGGUUUGCUAAAUCGUCGUACCUCACAAGGGUACCGAGGGUUCGAAUCCCUCUCUCUCCGCCA